CCUAGGGAGGCAGCAGUGGGGAAUAUUGGACAAUGGGGGGAACCCUGAUCCAGCGACGCCGCGUGAGUGAAGAAGUAUUUCGGUAUGUAAAGCUCUAUCAGCAGGGAAGAAAAUGACGGUACCUGAGUAAGAAGCCCCGGCUAACUACGUGCCAGCAGCCGCGGUAAUACGUAGGGGGCAAGCGUUAUCCGGAAUUACUGGGUGUAAAGGGAGCGUAGACGGUGAUGUAAGUCUGGAGUGAAAGGCGGGGGCCCAACCCCCGGACUGCUCUGGAAACUAUGUGACUGGAGUGCAGGAGAGGUGAGCGGAAUUCCUAGUGUAGCGGUGAAAUGCGUAGAUAUUAGGAGGAACACCAGUGGCGAAGGCAGCUUACCAAGCUACUUCUGACGUUGAGGCACGAAAGCGUGGGGAGCAAACAGGAUUAGAUACCCCUGUAGUC
rnacentral:rRNA from 1 species